rnacentral:rRNA from 1 species
UGGUUCGUUCAUACCUAGGCUAUUGCGCCGGAUCCCAUCAGACCUCCGAAGCUAAACGCCUGUGGGCGAGAAUACCUAGUACCGGAAUGGGUGACCUUCCGGGAAGUCCUCGUGACGAACCCA